GGUUAAGCGACUAAGCGUACACGGUGGAUGCCCUGGCAGUCAGAGGCGAUGAAGGACGUGCUAAUCUGCGAUAAGCGUCGGUAAGGUGAUAUGAACCGUUAUAACCGGCGAUUUCCGAAUGGGGAAACCCAGUGUGUUUCGACACACUAUCAUUAACUGAAUCCAUAGGUUAAUGAGGCGAACCGGGGGAACUGAAACAUCUAAGUACCCCGAGGAAAAGAAAUCAACCGAGAUUCCCCCAGUAGCGGCGAGCGAACGGGGAGCAGCCCAGAGCCUGAAUCAGUGUGUGUGUUAGUGGAAGCGUCUGGAAAGGCGCGCGAUACAGGGUGACAGCCCCGUACACAAAAAUGCACAUGCUGUGAGCUCGAUGAGUAGGGCGGGACACGUGGUAUCCUGUCUGAAUAUGGGGGGACCAUCCUCCAAGGCUAAAUACUCCUGACUGACCGAUAGUGAACCAGUACCGUGAGGGAAAGGCGAAAAGAACCCCGGCGAGGGGAGUGAAAAAGAACCUGAAACCGUGUACGUACAAGCAGUGGGAGCACAGAGCAAUCUGUGUGACUGCGUACCUUUUGUAUAAUGGGUCAGCGACUUAUAUUCUGUAGCAAGGUUAACCGAAUAGGGGAGCCGAAGGGAAACCGAGUCUUAACUGGGCGUUAAGUUGCAGGGUAUAGACCCGAAACCCGGUGAUCUAGCCAUGGGCAGGUUGAAGGUUGGGUAACACUAACUGGAGGACCGAACCGACUAAUGUUGAAAAAUUAGCGGAUGACUUGUGGCUGGGGGUGAAAGGCCAAUCAAACCGGGAGAUAGCUGGUUCUCCCCGAAAGCUAUUUAGGUAGCGCCUCGUGAAUUCAUCUCCGGGGGUAGAGCACUGUUUCGGCAAGGGGGUCAUCCCGACUUACCAACCCGAUGCAAACUACGAAUACCGGAGAAUGUUAUCACGGGAGACACACGGCGGGUGCUAACGUCCGUCGUGAAGAGGGAAACAACCCAGACCGCCAGCUAAGGUCCCAAAGUCAUGGUUAAGUGGGAAACGAUGUGGGAAGGCCCAGACAGCCAGGAUGUUGGCUUAGAAGCAGCCAUCAUUUAAAGAAAGCGUAAUAGCUCACUGGUCGAGUCGGCCUGCGCGGAAGAUGUAACGGGGCUAAACCAUGCACCGAAGCUGCGGCAGCGACGCUUAUGCGUUGUUGGGUAGGGGAGCGUUCUGUAAGCCUGUGAAGGUGUACUGUGAGGUAUGCUGGAGGUAUCAGAAGUGCGAAUGCUGACAUAAGUAACGAUAAAGCGGGUGAAAAGCCCGCUCGCCGGAAGACCAAGGGUUCCUGUCCAACGUUAAUCGGGGCAGGGUGAGUCGACCCCUAAGGCGAGGCCGAAAGGCGUAGUCGAUGGGAAACAGGUUAAUAUUCCUGUACUUGGUGUUACUGCGAAGGGGGGACGGAGAAGGCUAUGUUGGCCGGGCGACGGUUGUCCCGGUUUAAGCGUGUAGGCUGGUUUUCCAGGCAAAUCCGGAAAAUCAAGGCUGAGGCGUGAUGACGAGGCACUACGGUGCUGAAGCAACAAAUGCCCUGCUUCCAGGAAAAGCCUCUAAGCAUCAGGUAACAUCAAAUCGUACCCCAAACCGACACAGGUGGUCAGGUAGAGAAUACCAAGGCGCUUGAGAGAACUCGGGUGAAGGAACUAGGCAAAAUGGUGCCGUAACUUCGGGAGAAGGCACGCUGAUAUGUAGGUGAAGUCCCUCGCGGAUGGAGCUGAAAUCAGUCGAAGAUACCAGCUGGCUGCAACUGUUUAUUAAAAACACAGCACUGUGCAAACACGAAAGUGGACGUAUACGGUGUGACGCCUGCCCGGUGCCGGAAGGUUAAUUGAUGGGGUCAGCGCAAGCGAAGCUCUUGAUCGAAGCCCCGGUAAACGGCGGCCGUAACUAUAACGGUCCUAAGGUAGCGAAAUUCCUUGUCGGGUAAGUUCCGACCUGCACGAAUGGCGUAAUGAUGGCCAGGCUGUCUCCACCCGAGACUCAGUGAAAUUGAACUCGCUGUGAAGAUGCAGUGUACCCGCGGCAAGACGGAAAGACCCCGUGAACCUUUACUAUAGCUUGACACUGAACAUUGAGCCUUGAUGUGUAGGAUAGGUGGGAGGCUUUGAAGUGUGGACGCCAGUCUGCAUGGAGCCGACCUUGAAAUACCACCCUUUAAUGUUUGAUGUUCUAACGUGGACCCGUAAUCCGGGUUGCGGACAGUGUCUGGUGGGUAGUUUGACUGGGGCGGUCUCCUCCUAAAGAGUAACGGAGGAGCACGAAGGUUGGCUAAUCCUGGUCGGACAUCAGGAGGUUAGUGCAAUGGCAUAAGCCAGCUUGACUGCGAGCGUGACGGCGCGAGCAGGUGCGAAAGCAGGUCAUAGUGAUCCGGUGGUUCUGAAUGGAAGGGCCAUCGCUCAACGGAUAAAAGGUACUCCGGGGAUAACAGGCUGAUACCGCCCAAGAGUUCAUAUCGACGGCGGUGUUUGGCACCUCGAUGUCGGCUCAUCACAUCCUGGGGCUGAAGUAGGUCCCAAGGGUAUGGCUGUUCGCCAUUUAAAGUGGUACGCGAGCUGGGUUUAGAACGUCGUGAGACAGUUCGGUCCCUAUCUGCCGUGGGCGCUGGAGAAUUGAGGGGGGCUGCUCCUAGUACGAGAGGACCGGAGUGGACGCAUCACUGGUGUUCGGGUUGUCAUGCCAAUGGCACUGCCCGGUAGCUAAAUGCGGAAGAGAUAAGUGCUGAAAGCAUCUAAGCACGAAACUUGCCCCGAGAUGAGUUCUCCCUGACUCCUUGAGAGUCCUGAAGGAACGUUGAAGACGACGACGUUGAUAGGCCGGGUGUGUAAGCGCAGCGAUGCGUUGAGCUAACCGGUACUAAUGAACCGUGAGGCUUAACCUUACAACGCCGAAGGUGUUUUG
rnacentral:rRNA from 1 species